GAUGAACGCUGGCGGCGUGCCUAAUACAUGCAAGUCGAGCGAACAGACGAGGAGCUUGCUCCUCUGACGUUAGCGGCGGACGGGUGAGUAACACGUGGAUAACCUACCUAUAAGACUGGGAUAACUUCGGGAAACCGGAGCUAAUACCGGAUAAUAUCUUGCACCGCAUGGUUCAAUAGUGAAAGACGGUUUUGCUGUCACUUAUAGAUGGAUCCGCGCCGCAUUAGCUAGUUGGUAAGGUAACGGCUUACCAAGGCAACGAUGCGUAGCCGACCUGAGAGGGUGAUCGGCCACACUGGAACUGAGACACGGUCCAGACUCCUACGGGAGGCAGCAGUAGGGAAUCUUCCGCAAUGGGCGAAAGCCUGACGGAGCAACGCCGCGUGAGUGAUGAAGGUCUUCGGAUCGUAAAACUCUGUUAUUAGGGAAGAACAAAUGUGUAAGUAACUAUGCACGUCUUGACGGUACCUAAUCAGAAAGCCACGGCUAACUACGUG
rnacentral:rRNA from 1 species